rnacentral:rRNA from 1 species
UGGCUCAGGAUGAACGCUAGCGGCAGGCCUAACACAUGCAAGUCGAGGGGUAACAGGGUAGCAAUAUCGCUGACGACCGGCGCACGGGUGAGUAACGCGUAUGUAACCUUCCUUUAACUGGGGGAUAGCCCGGAGAAAUUCGGAUUAAUACCCCAUAACAUUGCGGAGAGGCAUCUUUCUGCAAUUAAAGCUCCGGCGGUUAAAGAUGGGCAUGCGUGCCAUUAGCUUGUUGGUGAGGUAACGGCUCACCAAGGCUACGAUGGUUAGGGGGUCUGAGAGGAUGAUCCCCCACACUGGUACUGAGACACGGACCAGACUCCUACGGGAGGCAGCAGUGAGGAAUAUUGGGCAAUGGGCGCAAGCCUGACCCAGCCAUGCCGCGUGAAGGAUGAAUGCCCUAUGGGUUGUAAACUUCUUUUGUACGGGACGAAUCUCUCGAACGUGUUCGGGACUGACUGUACCGUACGAAUAAGCAUCGGCUAACUCCGUGCCAGCAGCCGCGGUAAUACGGAGGAUGCAAGCGUUAUCCGGAUUCAUUGGGUUUAAAGGGUGCGUAGGCGGAAGAAUAAGUCAGUGGUGAAAGCCUGCGGCUUAACCGUAGAAUUGCCAUUGAUACUGUUUUUCUUGAGUAUAGUUGAGGUGGGCGGAAUGUGUAAUGUAGCGGUGAAAUGCUUAGAUAUUACACAGAACACCAAUUGCGAAGGCAGCUCACUAAGCUGUUACUGACGCUGAGGCACGAAAGCGUGGGGAGCAAACAGGAUUAGAUACCCUGGUAGUCC